GACGAACGCUGGCGGCGUGCUUAACACAUGCAAGUCGAACGGAAAGGCCCCUUUGGGGGUACUCGAGUGGCGAACGGGUGAGUAACACGUGAGUAACCUGCCCUUGACUUCGGGAUAACUUCAGGAAACUGGGGCUAAUACCGGAUAGGAAUCCUUGCUGCAUGGUGGGGGUUGGAAAGCUUCGGCGGUUUUGGAUGGACUCGCGGCUUAUCAGCUUGUUGGAGGGGUAGUGGCUUACCAAGGCUUUGACGGGUAGCCGGCCUGAGAGGGCGACCGGCCACAUUGGGACUGAGAUACGGCCCAGACUCCUACGGGAGGCAGCAGUGGGGAAUAUUGCACAAUGGGCGGAAGCCUGAUGCAGCAACGCCGCGUGCGGGAUGACGGCCUUCGGGUUGUAAACCGCUUUCAGCAGGGGCGAAGCUUGUGGUGACGGUACCUGCAGAAGAAGCACCGGCUAACUACGUG
rnacentral:rRNA from 1 species